CCAUUGCAAUAACUGCAUUUUAAUAAAAAGUAAUUUACGUUCUAUGACGUGAUCUUCAAAUUCUUCAAUAUAGUGAAUUGAAUUAGAAUAGAAAUUUUGAGUAAUAGGUUGAUGGUGGAUUGAUUUUCUAUUAUUUUUUUGGGAUUAUAUUGAUUAAGAUUAUGUCGGGAGGUCACAAACAUCGUUACAAGAAUGUGGGACUCAGUGCUGAUGAAUUACGUCGUCGGCGUGAAGAGGAGGGUGUGCAACUACGGAAACAAAAAAGAGAGCAGCAACUUUUUAAAAGAAGAAACGUAAACUUGCCCGGUCCUAAUGCACCUGAUAUCACACUGCAGGAGGACAUCGGCAUUUCCCCUUCCGAAGAUAUCACACCGGCGAUGGUCGCCGCUCUCUAUGGUGAUAAUCCCCAAGAACAAGUUUUGGCAACGCAGAAGUUUAGAAAACUUCUAAGUCGGGAACCGAAUCCUCCCAUCGACGAAGUCAUACGAACAGGAAUAGUUCCUAAAUUCGUCGAAUUUCUAACGAACAGUGCCAACCCCACGCUACAGUUCGAGGCGGCGUGGGCGCUGACCAACAUCGCGUCGGGCACGUCGGAGCAGACGCGCGUGGUGGUGGAGUGCGGCGCCGUGCCCGUGCUGGUGGCGCUGGCGGGCGCGGGCGCCGACGACGUGCGCGAGCAGGCCGUGUGGGCGCUGGGCAACGUGGCGGGCGACUCCACGCGCUGCCGCGACGCCGUGCUGGCGGCCGGCCUGCUGGCGCCGCUCGUGGACAUCCUCAAUAAGUACUCGCGCCUGUCCAUGACGAGGAACGCCGUGUGGACGCUCUCCAACCUGUGUCGAGGCAAAAACCCCCCUACGAACUUCGAGGCCGUCGCUCCGGGCAUCCCGGUGCUGGCGCGGCUGCUGCACCACACGGACGCGGACGUGCUGAGCGACGCGUGCUGGGCGCUGUCCUACAUGUCGGACGGGCCCAACGAGAAGAUCCAGGCCGUCAUCGACGCCGGCGUGUGUCGGCGCCUCGUCGAGUUGCUCGUACACAACAAGUACACGGUGGUGUCGGCGGCGCUGCGCGCGGUGGGCAACAUCGUGACCGGCAACGACGUGCAGACGCAGGCCGUGCUGCUGUGCAAGCCGCUGCCCAGCCUGCACGCGCUGCUGCGCUCCGACACCGAGGCGCUGCGCAAGGAGGCCUGCUGGACGCUCUCCAACAUCACGGCCGGCAACGCCGCGCAGAUCCAGGCCGUCAUAGACGCCAACAUUUUCCCGACGUUGAUAGACAUUCUCAGGAACGCGGAAUUUAAAACUAGGAAAGAAGCCGCUUGGGCGAUAACCAAUGCGACCAGUGGAGGAACACAUGCGCAAAUAAGUUAUCUUGUAGACCAAGGUUGCAUACCGCCGCUCUGUGAUCUGUUGACGUUGACCGACAUGAAGACCGUUCAAGUGGCUCUGAACGGUAUCGACAAUAUAUUGAAGGCGGGUCAGCAGGCCGACCAACGCUUCAAUCCGUACGCCGUCCUCAUCGAGGAAUGCUUUGGCGUGGAUAAAAUCGAAUUCCUGCAAUCGCACGAGAACCUGGACAUCUACCAGAAGGCGUUCGAGAUCAUCGAGAACUACUUCAACUCGGAGAGCGAGGACGGGCGGCUGGCGCCCGACGCGCCCGCCGAGCAGUUCACCUUCGGCGCCGAGCCCGCCGUGCCGCGCGGCGGCUACCAGUUCUGAGCCAGCGGCCAGUGCGUGGAAUAUCUGUCUACGAAAUUCCAAUACCACGACAGAAUGCCUGUCCAACAGACAGUGGUGUGUCACUGUACGAACUGGUGAAUAAACUACCUACUCCAGAGUAAAUAUAUUUUGCACUUAUUAUGCAGUAGUUUAGAUCAUUAUAUUAAUUUAUAUCGCGAACUAUUAAAAAAAAUUAACCUCGCCUUCUUUCGUUUCGCUAUUGUAGAUAACAUAACUAUACCCUGUUCACUUUCCAUAUGAAAAUUACUAACGAAGCGUCGCUAGGCUAAUGAUAAUAAUUAAACGAUUGUAAUUUAAGAACUACUUUAGGGUAUACUUUGAUUGACAAAACAAAACCAUUAAAAAGCAUUCAUUAGUGAUUCUGUCACGAUGAAGAAAAAUCAACAUGAAUUUUUAGUGUAAAAAUAUGUUUAUUAAAUAAAUUAAUAUAUGUAAAUGACCACGUUUGUUGAAAUAGCGAGUGCUAUUACUGUUUUUCUACUAUUACUAUUCGUUAUUAUUAUAAUUUCAUUUGUGUCGACGUAACGACAUGAGGGUACUCCCGGCCAGAAGGAGCUAUCAUCAAAUAGUCCCAGCUUUUAGUCUAGGAUAUUGUUUCUAUUCAUAUUAUAAAUAAUAUUGUAUUUAUAUAAUGUCGACCCAAUUAUUUAAAUGACUAUAAUGAAUACAAUCUAUCUUGAUUGCUUUAUAUAUGCAUUAAAUGAUAAUGAGUUGGUUGGUAUAAAGAUUUAAAGUCAAAUAUAUGCUUAGUGCAAAUUAAUCAUACACGGAUAACAAAUGUACUGAUAAUAUGGUAAACUUAGCUAUGGCCCGUAAGGGUUUUCUUCUAUAUAUAGAUGACGCAGGUCUCAAAUAAAUGGAGUUGUGGUCAUAGAACAUUAUAAAAUUAAAUAGUUUCUAAAGGUAUCAGCCUCUACCUCAAGAUAAAACUUCUUUGUGAAAGAGAUGCAUCAAGCUGUUCAUAGAAAAAUUAAAUGUUAAUCAGUUUUGAAUAACCUUUUGAAGUGACCAUGUUAAUUGACCUUGACUUUGACUAUAUAUUGUGUGUAUUCAUUGCACUAAGAAAGUGACCAUGGUAUAGCUCUUUCUUUAUUGUAAAUUAUGUUUUUAUUGGCAACUAUUUGUUAAAAGCAACUUUCCAUGUUGUUAUGUGAUAAAAACAUUUUAAUUCGUUAUAUUGAAUUAAAUAUUGGUACCAACACA